rnacentral:siRNA from 1 species
AUCCUUGUCGCUCUGUAACUCUUC